UACGUAGGCAGCAAGCGUUGUUCGGAGUUACUGGGCGUAAAGAGUGCGUAGGCGGUGUCGAAAGUUUGGCGUGAAAUCUCCCGGCUUAACUGGGAGGGUGCGCCGAAAACUGCGGUGCUGGAGUGUGGGAAAGGCAAGCGGAAUUCCUGGUGUAGCGGUGAAAUGCGCAGAUAUCAGGAGGAACACCGGUGGCGAAGGCGGGUCUCUGGGCCGAAACUGACGCUGAGGAGCGAAAGCGUGGGGAGCAAACAGG
rnacentral:rRNA from 1 species